rnacentral:lncRNA from 1 species
GUAUUAUCACAAAGUAAAGAAAUAAGGAGGUCAAGUAUUAUCACUUAGUGAAGAAAUAAAUAGGUCAAGUAUUAUUACAAAGUAAAGAAAUAAGAAAGUAAAGUCUCAUCAUUUAGAAAAAAAAAUAAGGAGGUCAAGUGUAUUAUCACAAAGUAAAGAAAUAGGAGGUCAAGUAUUUUUACAAAGUAAAGAAAUAAGAAAGUAAAGUCUUAUCAUUUAGUAAAGAAAUAAGGAGGUAAAGUAUAACUGCAAAGUAAAAAAAAUAAGGAGUUAAAGUAUCGUUUACUAAAGAAUCAAGGUCAAGUAUUAUCACUAAGUAAAGACACAAGGAGGUAAAGUAUUACCACAAAGUAAAGAAAUAAGGAG